rnacentral:tRNA from 5 species
GCGCCUUUAGCUCAGUUGGUAGAGCAGUAGACUCUUAAUCUAUUUGUCCAGGGUUCGAGUCCCUGAAGGCGCACGA